rnacentral:rRNA from 1 species
GAAUUGAAGAGUUUGAUCAUGGCUCAGAUUGAACGCUGGCGGCAGGCUUAACACAUGCAAGUCGAACGGUAACAGAAGAGAGCUUGCUCUCUUGCUGACGAGUGGCGGACGGGUGAGUAAUGCUUGGGAAUCUGGCCUAUGGAGGGGGAUAACUACGGGAAACUGUAGCUAAUACCGCGUAAUGUCUUUGGACUAAAGGGUGGGA